rnacentral:rRNA from 1 species
GACCUAUUCACAAUCUUUAAAUGGGCGCGAACCCGGAGUUACUUUAUUUGAACUCUGGAGCAGAAUCCUGGUUCUAAGUGGGCCACUUCAGGUAAGCAGGACUGGCGACGCGGAAUGAACCGAGAGCUGACUUAAGGUGUCCGAGUGUUCGCUCAUCAGAUCCCACAAAGGGUGUCGGUUCAUCUAGACAGCAGGACGGUGGCCAUGGAAGUCGGCAUCCGAUAAUGAGUGUGUAACAACUCACCUGCCGAAUGAACCGGUCCCGAAAAUGGAUGAUGCUCAAGCGAUCCACCCAUAGUCGGCCGUGCUCCGGUAUUGAAAAGCCGUGGUAUGAGUAGGAGUGCGUGAAGCACGCCGCGAAGGUGUUGGCGUGAGCCUCACUGAAGCGUGCUUUAGUGCAGAUCUUGGUUGUAGUAGCGAAUAUUCAAUGGAGAACAUUGAAGGCCGAAGUGGAGAAGGUUUCCGUGUCAACAGCAGUUGGACACGGGUCAGUCGGUCCUAAGGCAAGGUGUAAUUGCUCGCCUCAAAGCUGAUAGCGACAACUUCGGUUGUUUCUACAGGUUUGCCGAAAGGGAAUGCGUGAACAUUCCGCAACCUGGCUGCAGGGAAAUGAAGCGGCAACGCAGUGACGAUCCUGGUGACCGUGACCGUAGGCCCCGGAUGACGCCGUCGUCUCUUUUUGAAGGAUUGGUCGACCCUUGAAAAGCUUCACGCUGGGACAGGGUGUGCUAUCCUGGAAAGCUGCACUCCUUUCGUGCAGUAGGGUGUCUUGCGGACGCGCCUGGAAAAUCCGGGGGAGAUCUCUUUCUCUUGCACCGGUCCGUACCGUUAACCGCAAUCGGUCUCCUAGGCUAAAAGCCUCUGGCCGACAGAACAAUGUAGGUAAGGGAAGUCGGCAAAAUAGAUCCGUAACUUCGGGAAAAGGAUUGGCUCCAAGGCUGCAUGCAGGCGUCGGUGUGGAUAGUGUAGAGGGUUCAGGUGAUGAGUGGCUGCGUGAGGCGCUCUCGGGUGCCACGCGCGGCUCUCUGAUCCUUCCUCUUGCUUCCACAUGUUCGUGCCUUCAAUGAAGCAGCGACUUGGAACUGUUACGAACAAGGGGAAUCUAACUGGUUAAUUAAACCAUAGCAUUUCGCUUCAUCACAGCGGUGGCGAGUGGAAUGUGACUUCUGCCCAGUGCCCUGAAUGUCAACGCUGAGAGAUCAGGUCAAGCGCGGGUAAACGGCGGGAGUAACUAUGACUCUCUUAAGGUAGCCAAAUGCCUCGUCUUCUAAUUAAAGACGCGCAUGAAUGGACCAAUGAUAUUCCUUCUGUCCCUACCUACUAUCUGGCGAAACAGCAGUCAAGGGAACGGACUUGAAACUGUCAGCGGGGAAAGAA